rnacentral:rRNA from 1 species
GACGAACGCUGGCGGCGUGCUUAACACAUGCAAGUCGAACGGAAAGGCCCUGCUUUUGUGGGGUGCUCGAAUGGCGAACGGGUGAGUAACACGUGAGUAACCUGCCCUUGACUUUGGGAUAACUUCAGGAAACUGGGGCUACUACCGGAUAGGAGCUCCUGCUGCAUGGUGGGGGUUGGAAAGUUUCGGCGGUUGGGGAUGGACUCGCGGCUUAUCUGCUGGUUGGUGGGGGAGUGGCUUACCAAGGCUUUGACGGGUAGCCGGCCUGAGAGGGUGACCGGGCACAUUGGGACUGAGGUACGGGCCAGACUACUACGGGAGGCAGAAGUGGGGAAUAUUGCACGAUGGGCGGAAGCCGGAUGCAGGAACGCCGCGUGCGGGAUGAAGGCCUUUGGGGUGUAAGAAGAUGUGACAGAGGACGAAGCGUGAGUGACGGUAAUAAGUAAGGAAGCACCGGCUAACUACGUG